rnacentral:misc_RNA from 1 species
UUUUGUGUAGGGCCCUAUG